rnacentral:rRNA from 1 species
CACGUGGGUGAUCUGCCCUGCACUUUGGGAUAAGCCUGGGAAACUGGGUCUAAUACCGAAUAUUUCCUUUUGGUCGCAUGGCUGGGAGGGGAAAGCUUUUGCGGUGUGGGAUGGGCCCGCGGCCUAUCAGCUUGUUGGUGAGGUUAUGGCUUACCAAGGCGACGACGGGUAGCCGGCCUGAGAGGGUGACCGGCCACACUGGGACUGAGAUACGGCCCAGACUCCUACGGGAGGCAGCAGUGGGGAAUAUUGCACAAUGGGGGAAACCCUGAUGCAGCCAUGCCGCGUGUGUGAAGAAGG